GGGACUGUAGCUCAGAUGGAUAGAGCGACCGCCUCCUAAGCGGUAGGCCAUGGGUUCAACUCCCGUCAGUCCCG
rnacentral:tRNA from 1 species